GACGAGCGCUGGCGGCAUGCCUAAUACAUGCAAGUCGAGCGAACAGAUGAAGUGCUUGCACUUCUGACGUUAGCGGCGAACGGGUGAGUAACACGUAAGGAAUCUACCUAUAAGCGGGGGAUAACAUUCGGAAACGGGUGCUAAUACCGCAUAAUAUCUUCUUCCGCAUGGAAGAAGAUUGAAAGACGGCUCUGCUGUCAUUUAUAGAUGACCUUGCGGUGCAUUAGUUAGUUGGUGGGGUAAUGGCCUACCAAGACGAUGAUGCAUAGCCGACCUGAGAGGGUGAUCGGCCACAUUGGGACUGAGACACGGCCCAAACUCCUACGGGAGGCAGCAGUAGGGAAUCUUCCGCAAUGGGCGAAAGCCUGACGGAGCAAUGCCGCGUGAGUGAAGAAGGCCUUCGGGUCGUAAAACUCUGUUAUAAGAGAAGAACAAAUUGUAGAGUAACUGCUACAGUCUUGACGGUAUCUUAUCAGAAAGCCACGGCUAACUACGUGCCAGCCGCCGCAGUAACAC
rnacentral:rRNA from 1 species